UACGUAGGUGGCAAGCGUUAUCCGGAAUUAUUGGGCGUAAAGCGCGCGCAGGCGGUUUCUUAAGUUCUGAUGUGAAAGCCCACGGCUCAACCGUGGAGGGUCAUUGGAAACUGGGGAACUUGAGUGCAGAAGAGAAAAGCGGAAUUCCACGUGUAGCGGUGAAAUGCGUAGAGAUGUGGAGGAACACCAGUGGCGAAGGCGGCUUUUUGGUCUGUAACUGACGCUGAGGCGCGAAAGCGUGGGGAGCAA
rnacentral:rRNA from 1 species